rnacentral:rRNA from 1 species
AUUGAACGCUGGCGGCGUGCUUAACACAUGCAAGUCGAACGGAGUGGCGAAAGGGUGAGUAAAACGUGGGUGAGCUGCCCUGCACUUCUGGGUAAGCCUGGGGAAAUGGGUGUAAUACCGGAUAGUGUGGGAUGGGGCCGCGGCCUAUCAGCUUGUUGGUGGGGUGAUGGGCUACCAAGGCGGCGACGGGUGGCGGGCCUGGGAGGGUGGACGGCGACAUUGGGACUGAGACACGGCCCAGAAUCCUACGGGAGGCAGCAGUGGGGAAUAUUGCACAAUGGGCGGAAGCGUGAUGCAGCGACGCCGCGUGGGGGAUGACGGCCUUCGGGUUGUAAACUCCUUUCGACAGCGACGCGGUAGAUGGAGAAGAAGCACCGGCUAACGACGUGCCAGCAGCCGCGGUAAUAC